GAUGAACGCUGGCGGCGUGCCUAAUACAUGCCAGUCGAGCGAACAGACGAGGAGCUUGCUCCUCUGACGUUAGCGGCGGACGGGUGAGUAACACGUGGAUAACCUACCUAUAAGACUGGGAUAACUUCGGGAAACCGGAGCUAAUACCGGAUAAUAUAUUGAACCGCAUGGUUCAAUAGUGAAAGACGGUUUUGCUGUCACUUAUAGCUGGAUCCGCGCCGCAUUAGCUAGUUGGUAAGGUAACGGCUUACCAAGGCAACGAUGCGUAGCCGACCUGAGAGGGUGAUCGGCCACACUGGAACUGAGACACGGUCCAGACUCCUACGGGAGGCAGCAGUAGGGAAUCUUCCGCAAUGGGCGAAAGCCUGACGGAGCAACGCCGCGUGAGUGAUGAAGGUCUUCGGAUCGUAAAACUCUGUUAUUAGGGAAGAACAAAUGUGUAAGUAACUAUGCACGUCUUGACGGUACCUAAUCAGAAAGCCACGGCUAACUACGUG
rnacentral:rRNA from 1 species